rnacentral:rRNA from 1 species
CCGUCACACGCCCGCCGGAGAGUGCCUGCCGACAGCCUAAACCUCAAAAUCUUUAACCAAACGUGUCUUUGUCUGAGUAAACGUCUUUAAUAAAAGCAAAACUUUCAACAACGGAUCUCUUGGUUCUGGCAUCGAUGAAGAACGCAGCGAAAUGCGAUAAGUAAUGCGAAUUGCAGAAUUCUCGUGAGUCAUCGAAUCUUUGAACGCACAUUGCGCCCUUUGGUAUUCCGAAGGGCAUGCCUGUUCGAGCGUCAUUUUCACCCCUCAAGCCCCCGGCUUGGUGUUGGACGGUUUGGUCCAGGGCCCCCCCUGGACCCCUCCCAAAGACAAUGACGGCGGGCUGUUGCACCCCCGGUACACUGAGCAUCUUCACGGAGCACGUACCGGUCUCAAGGGUCGACGGCACCCGGUCUACACCUAUAUCUUUCACAAGGUUGACCUCGGAUCAGGUAGGAAUACCCGCUGAACUUAAGCAUAUCAAUAAGCGGAGGAAAAGAAACCAACAGGGAUUGCCUCAGUAACGGCGAGUGAAGCGGCAACAGCUCAAAUUUGAAAUCUGGCCUCUUGGGGGUCCGAGUUGUAAUUUGUAGAGGAUGUUUCGGGUACCGCCUCGGUUUAAAUUUCUUGGAACAGAAUGUCAGAGAGGGUGAGAAUCCCGUCUUGGACCGGCGGUAGGGCCCAUGUGAAACUCCUUCGACGAGUCGAGUUGUUUGGGAAUGCAGCUCAAAAUGGGUGGUAAAUUUCAUCUAAAGCUAAAUAUUGGCCAGAGACCGAUAGCGCACAAGUAGAGUGAUCGAAAGAUGAAAAGAACUUUGAAAAGAGAGUUAAACAGUAUGUGAAAUUGUUGAAAGGGAAGCGCUUGCAACCAGACUUGAGCGCGGCGGUUCCCCCUUCCUUUUGGUUGGGUUACUCCGCCGUGUCCAGGCCAACAUCGGUUCUGGGGGUCGGUUAAAGGCCCGGGGAAUGUAUCUACUCCUCCGGGGGUAGACUUAUAGCCCCGGGUGUCAUGCGACCACCCGGGACCGAGGAACGCGCUUCGGCUCGGAUGUUGGCGUAAUGGUUGUCAGCGACCCGUCUG